GACGAACGCUGGCGGCGUGCUUAACACAUGCAAGUCGAACGGAAAGGCCCUGCUUUUGUGGGGUGCUCGAGUGGCGAACGGGUGAGUAACACGUGAGUAACCUGCCCUUGACUUUGGGAUAACUUCAGGAAACUGGGGCUAAUACCGGAUAGGAGCUCCUGCUGCAUGGUGGGGGUUGGAAAGUUUCGGCGGUUGGGGAUGGACUCGCGGCUUAUCAGCUUGUUGGUGGGGUAGUGGCUUACCAAGGCUUUGACGGGUAGCCGGCCUGAGAGGGUGACCGGCCACAUUGGGACUGAGAUACGGCCCAGACUGCUACGGGAGGCAGCAGUGGGGAAUAUUGCACAAUGGGCGGAAGCCUGAUGAAGCAACGCCGCGUGCGGGAUGACGGCCUUCGGGUUGUAAACCGCUUUCGCCUGUGACGAAGCGUGAGUGACGGUAAUGGGUAAAGAAGCACCGGCUAACUACGUG
rnacentral:rRNA from 1 species